rnacentral:lncRNA from 1 species
UGUUUUACUAUUUCUAAGGUGGUUCCCAUGAUGGCAUUUCUUGAUAAGCCCACUUUGAGCCGUUUAAUGUUUUGUAGGUGUUUCUGUGAGUCUGAUAAUACCAGCACUAAAAACAGUUCAGUAUAUAGACAUUUACAAGAGGUCUUAGGCCUCUUCAGAAUUCAGUUAAUGUCUUUCUCUUUGAGGCUGCUGAAUGUUAGGUAAGAAUUCAGGGCAAGCAUUCCCGACCAUCAUCAAAUUGGAGACUUGGAGUUUCUAUUGGCUGGAAGAAAGUUGACCCACAGGCAAAACCAGAUGUAAACCAAGUUUGUCUUGGGUACUUUUCAAAUUCUUUUCACAGCAUCCUUUUCUCAUCCCUCAUGGUGGCCUCUGGCCCUGGAAAAUCCUCAUGAUAGCAACUUAUCAGGCCUGUUUCCUCUGAUAGAUCUGGACUUUUCCCCUUAAGUGCUUUCCUGUUGGGCUUCUCAGACUAUGGAGAACUGCUCAUAGUUGAGAUCUAAGAGACAAAUUACCCUAUGGUGUUCAAGAAUGGCCGUAUUUAGUAUACUGCCUGUCCUGGAAGUGUUCACAUUUAAAAAGGCAUGACUUUCCAAUGGGCAAAUAUCAGACACCUACAUGCAUAGAUAAGGGAAAUAUGUUUUACUUAAGCAAACUUCUAGGCAUUGAAUCUCAGUGUUUAGGUGCAGAGAUGGAAUUCCUAUAAGCAAUGCAGUCAUUCACCACAUCAGGAAGGCCAAAAAAUGAACACUCUCGUAAUUUUGUUAUUAUCUGGAAAGUUCUGAUAUGAUAAUGAACCUAAAAUACUGAAUAGAUAGUGAACAUCCUAAAAUUCCACUGACCAGAAUCCAUUCCCAUGGUCAUCAUCUGUAGAGGGCAUGAUACAAUGACAGGCCUGAGGUAUGAUUAUAAUUCUGGAGUAAUUUAAAGCCUAUAUUUGUUAAACUUUAACAGAUGGACACACAUUCUCUGAUUUUCUACUUGGCUCUUUCCUGUACUAGAAAUGCGCAUUUAACUAAACCUUCCCAGCUUUUCUGUUCAGUGCCUGACUUACACUACUCCCUUAGGCAGGAGGACAGUGGGUGUCUGGGGAAUAAAAGCCAAGAGCUCCAAACAGAGGAUUUUGGAUACAAAGGGCAGCCACCAGGAAAUAGCUUUGUGAGAGGGACAGACUAUCUGAUUCCCAUUUGUACAAACAUGUCCAAAGCAAAAGCACAGCAUUCUAAAGUGGAUGCAGAAAUUAGUAUACAAUGGCAGUUCUGGCCAGUGCAGCCCAGCAUUUUUCUGUUGUGCAUGGAAAGAACACAGUGAAAAGGCAGGCAGGGCAUCCGGUGCAAAGUGCAACAGACAUAGACACACAAAUCCAGUUUUCCUGAUGAGAGAGGGAGCUAUCUCUUCAUAAGUGAUGCAAUGCAAUGCAGGCAUGUACAAGUACAAGGAAAGAUUUAUUUUUAAAAAAUCAUAGUGUAACUGGAUGAAUACCAGCAACAGCACCUGCUAAAGCAAACAGCCUGUUCAUUAAAAACUGGACUUGAGGGAAUGGAGAAAGAAUCUGAGGAGCCUGCAGUCAGCAUGCUUGCAGAGACCUUAUGGCUACAGAAGACGAUGAUUAACCCAUAGAGGUUCAAUGUAGUUUUCAAGAAGAGGGUGGGAAAGCAUAAGAUGGGGACUAAGACUUUGCCUUUAACCUUCAUGACAUGAAGAAUUGAAUGACUCUUUGUUGGAAAAAAUGGCAGUUAUGAGAUAAUUGGAUCCAUGUUAAUUAUAUAUAUUUCUGUAUAUAUAGUAAGUGGUUAUUGAUGUGCCUUUGUUAAC